GUGCGACAGUGGUGCUUGCUGGUUUUGCGCCUCCACGUGGAAAACGAACCAGCGCUGAGGGCGGCGCUGUGCGUGCUGCUUGUAUCCGUUGCAGUAGUGUAGACCGAGGUCUCACUCGGGUUGUGGGCACCUCCGGGUAGGUGACGGCCCACUGGGAAGGGGCGCCGAGGUCGGGGCUCAUGUUCUUCAUCUUGUUUGCUUUUGUCAGUAUUUAUCUGACUGGACACUUCGUACCUAAAUUGAUAACGACAAACAGCAACUUCCGGAGAGGUGGCUUUAAUAAUUAUACUUUUGGGCCCUGAGCCGCCGACCCCAAAGCCGCUUCUCCUAUCAUAAAUGGCUACGUGAAACGAUAAUAACAAAAGGGAAGGAAGGGUCUGACAACCAGAUUUAAAAGUUUUAUUGUAUUUUACUUAAAAUGUUUCCGGUAAUGAAAACAUUGCACAAACGAUUUUUUUUUCUUUUUUUGAGAAGCGGUCUCAUUCUGUCGCCCAGGCUGGAGUGCAGUGGCACGGUCAUGGCUCACUGCAGCCUCAACCUCCCCGGAUCAGAUGAUCCUCGCACCUCAUCCCUGGCCAAGUAGCUGGGACUACAGGCUAGCGCCACCACGCCCGGCUAAUUUUUGUAUUUUCUGUAGCAACGGGGUCUUGCUAUGUUGCCUAGGCUGCUGUCAAACUCGUGGGCUCAAGCGAUCUGCUUGCCUUAGCCUCCUUAACUGUUGGGAUUACAGGCAUGAGCCACUGCACCCGGCCUGCAUACUUAUUAUCAUUGCUAUGAGUCGGCUUGGUACCUUACUGAUCUGCUGGUUAAAAUCUGGAGCCUUGCAAAGGGCAGUAGGCCUCGGGCUUUGGCCCCAGAGCCUCUAAAGGAAAUUCUGGAUCUUGCCAAAUUGGGAGUAGUUCCGUAGCUGCCUAUUGUAUCCGUUAGAGG
rnacentral:lncRNA from 10 species